GACGAACGCUGGCGGCGUGCUUAACACAUGCAAGUCGAACGGAAAGGCCCUGCUUUUGUGGGGUGCUCGAGUGGCGAACGGGUGAGUAACACGUGAGUAACCUGCCCUUGACUUUGGGAUAACUUCAGGAAACUGGGGCUAAUACCGGAUAGGAGCUCCUGCUGCAUGGUGGGGGUUGGAAAGUUUCGGCGGUUGGGGAUGGACUCGGGGCUUAUCAGCUUGUUGGUGGGGUAGUGGCUUACCAAGGCAUUGACGGGUAGCCGGCAUGGGAGGGUGACCGGCCACAUUGGGACUGGGGUACGGCCCAGACUCCUACGGGGGGCAGCAGUGGGGAAUAUUGCACAAUGGGCGGAAGCCUGAUGCAGCAACGCCGCGUGCGGGAUGACGGCCUUCGGGUUGUAAACCGCUUUCGCCUGUGACGAAGCGUGAGUGACGGUAAUGGGUGAAGAAGCACCGGCUAACUACGUG
rnacentral:rRNA from 1 species